GAUCUCUCAUAAACAACAUCUCUAGUUUCAUAAGAUAGAGGUGCAGGAAAACUGGAGCUUGGAAUAUACUAAAACUCAAGGCUAGAUUGAUCUCUUGCAAAAGAACCACAAGUAAAAUCUAUGAUUGGCAUUAUAUGGAAGACAUUAUUUUUAAAAUUAUUUUUCAAGCAUUAUAUGGGAGAAGAUCUUUGAUUCAAUGAACUUGAAGAAUUUGCAAAACUUGGAACAACAGCUUGAUUCUGCUCUUAAGCUUAUUCGUUCAAGAAAGGUUAGGUUUCAGCUUUCUUGUUCUUUUCACUCUUACUUUUUAUUAACAAUUUAUUUGAGAUUGAGAAAUAAUUUUUAUUGACUUUUGCAUCAAACAUAAAUUGAGUCUAUUAAGUAGAUUAUCAAAAUUAAUAAUCACUAAAUUGAAAACUAACUUUCUGUCUUUACCAUCUGUAAGAACGUCUCAAUAAAAUUAAUGAUCUAAAACUAAAUUUUAA